AGAGUUUGAUCCUGGCUCAGGAUGAACGCUGGCGGCGUGCUUAACACAUGCAAGUCGAACGAUGAUCCCAGCUUGCUGGGGGAUUAGUGGCGAACGGGUGAGUAACACGUGAGUAACCUGCCCUUAACUCUGGGAUAAGCCUGGGAAACUGGGUCUAAUACCGGAUAUGACUCCUCAUCGCAUGGUGGGGGGUGGAAAGCUUUAUUGUGGUUUUGGAUGGACUCGCGGCCUAUCAGCUUGUUGGUGAGGUAAUGGCUCACCAAGGCGACGACGGGUAGCCGGCCUGAGAGGGUGACCGGCCACACUGGGACUAAGACACGGCCCAGACUCCUACGGGAGGCAGCAGUGGGGAAUAUUGCACAAUGGGCGAAAGCCUGAUGCAGCGACGCCGCGUGAGGGAUGACGGCCUUCGGGUUGUAAACCUCUUUCAGUAGGGAAGAAGCGAAAGUGACGGUACCUGCAGAAGAAGCGCCGGCUAACUACGUGCCAGCAGCCGCGGUAAUACGUAGGGCGCAAGCGUUAUCCGGAAUUAUUGGGCGUAAAGAGCUCGUAGGCGGUUUGUCGCGUCUGCCGUGAAAGUCCGGGGCUCAACUCCGGAUCUGCGGUGGGUACGGGCAGACUAGAGUGAUGUAGGGGAGACUGGAAUUCCUGGUGUAGCGGUGAAAUGCGCAGAUAUCAGGAGGAACACCGAUGGCGAAGGCAGGUCUCUGGGCAUUAACUGACGCUGAGGAGCGAAAGCAUGGGGAGCGAACAGGAUUAGAUACCCCAGUAGUCC
rnacentral:rRNA from 1 species